CAAACAGCCAGUAAAACCACAAUGCAGAAAUCCACAAAUGCAAAUGGAAUCAGAUUCAAAGAGUGGCAGCAAAACUUUAUCGCAGAUCUACAAUGGAGGAACAGCCAUAAUGAAAGAAAUAUGUAAUAUAUUUAUAUGAUUGGAUUGGAAGAGAGUGUACCUUAAGUAAAGCAAAGGGAUCAGGGCCAAAGAGGUCUUUGAUCUGAAAUUGAAAUUUCCAAGCUUAGAUCAUCAAUUCUCCUACACAAAGCACAUGUAAUAAGAGAACAAGUGGAGUUAUGUACUGCAUCCUUCGGACAUUCAUGGAUCAACAUUAUUGAGACAGCUCGCAGCCUGAUGAAACUGCCUUACCAUUGAAGCUAUGACCUUUUGGUGACUGAAUGUUUGAGAGACUGUAACCCAAGCUCGGCAGCUAAAGUGUUCACUGAUGUGAGUCUUGUUAUAAACUAACUUGGUCAGAGCUGUUUUUCCAAGUCCUCCCAUGCCGACUAUGAAAAUCACUUUGUGCUUGAAUUCAUUGUCUAAUAACCAACCUUCAAGUUCAGCUUCAUAAGAUUCAAAACCAACAACUUCAGAAGGGUCACAAGUACUUGGUCCUGCAUUGAUUAAUUCCAGAUCAUUACACCAUUGAGUACUUGUUUCCAUGAUUAAUUACUCUUUUCUUAUUGUUGGCCAAGAAGGAGAGUUGAUAGUGGAAGAGAAAAAAAAGAAUUAUCUGCAUACAAUUGACUUACCCCAUAAUUAUGUCUCUUGUACCUUAGUUUUAUGCUUUGUCUUGUUCUGUGAUUAUUGAUUACAAUCAAUUAUUACUCAUGACAGGGAGUUCAAAAAAAUUCAAUUAUUAACAUUGCAGUUUAGGCCCAUAGGCAUGUUUUAUACGUCUCUUUCCAAGAUUUAGAGCACUAUUGUUUCUAAAGAGACUAAAGUUUAAUUUAAUAUAGUUAAACUUGAUAUGUAGUGAAAUAAAAUUAUCUGCGUUGAGGGAUAA